UACGUAGGGUGCAAGCGUUGUCCGGAAUUAUUGGGCGUAAAGAGCUCGUAGGCGGUUUGUCGCGUCUGCUGUGAAAACUCGGGGCUUAACCCCGGGCCUGCAGUGGGUACGGGCAGACUAGAGUGCGGUAGGGGAGACUGGAAUUCCUGGUGUAGCGGUGAAAUGCGCAGAUAUCAGGAGGAACACCAGUGGCGAAGGCGGCUCACUGGCCCGGUACUGACGCUGAGGUGCGAAAGCGUGGGGAGCAAACAGG
rnacentral:rRNA from 1 species